rnacentral:rRNA from 1 species
CUACGGAGGGGGCUAGCGUUGUUCGGAAUUACUGGGCGUAAAGCGCGUGUAGGCUGAUCGUUAAGUCAGGGGUGAAAGCCCGGGGCUCAACCCCGGAACUGCCCUUGAUACUGGCGAUCUAGAGUCCGGAAGAGGUGGGCGGAAUUCCCGGUGUAGAGGUGAAAUUCGUAGAUAUCGGGAGGAACACCAGUGGCGAAGGCGGCUCACUGGUCCGGCACUGACGCUGAGACGCGAAAGCGUGGGGAGCAAACAGGAGUAGAAACCCUAGUAGUCC